rnacentral:rRNA from 1 species
AGAGUUUGAUCCUGGCUCAGGACGAACGCUGGCGGCGUGCUUAACACAUGCAAGUCGAACGGAGAUUUAGAAGAGCUUGCUCUUCGAAGAUCUUAGUGGCGGACGGGUGAGUAACGCGUGGGCAAUCUGCCCGUAAGAGGGGGAUAACAUCGGGAAACCGGUGCUAAUACCGCAUAAGAUCGGUGGUUUGCAUGAACGACUGAUUAAAGGAGUAAUCCGCUUACGGAUGAGCCCGCGUCUGAUUAGCUAGUUGGUGGGGUAACGGCCUACCAAGGCGACGAUCAGUAGCCGGCCUGAGAGGGUGAACGGCCACACUGGAACUGAGACACGGUCCAGACUCCUACGGGAGGCAGCAGUGGGGAAUCUUCCGCAAUGGGCGAAAGCCUGACGGAGCAACGCCGCGUGAGUGAUGAAGGCCUUCGGGUUGUAAAACUCUGUCUUCAGGGAAGAAAACAAUGACGGUACCUGAGGAGGAAGCCACGGCUAACUACGUGCCAGCAGCCGCGGUAAUACGUAGGUGGCAAGCGUUGUCCGGAAUUACUGGGCGUAAAGAGCGCGUAGGCGGGAAUUUAAGUCAAGAGUGAAAACUACCGGCUCAACCGGUAGCCUGCUCAUGAAACUGGAUUUCUUGAGGGUAUGAGAGGAAAGCGGAAUUCCUAGUGUAGCGGUGAAAUGCGUAGAUAUUAGGAGGAACACCAGUGGCGAAGGCGGCUUUCUGGCAUACAACUGACGCUGAGGCGCGAAAGCGUGGGGAGCGAACGGGAUUAGAUACCCCGGUAGUCCACGCCGUANACGAUGGGUACUAGGUGUAGGAGGUAUCGACCCNNNNUGU